UACGUAGGCAGCGAGCGUUGUUCGGAGUUACUGGGCGUAAAGGGUGUGUAGGCGGUUCUUUAAGUUUGGUGUGAAAUCUCCCCGGCUCAACCGGGAGGGUGCCGCCGAAUACUGAGGGACUAGAGUGCGGGAGAGGAAAGUGGAAUUCCUGGUGUAGCCGGUGAAAUGCGUAGAUAUCAGGAGGAACACCGGUGGUGUAGACGGCCUUUCUGGACCGUAACUGACGCCUGAGACACGAAAGCGUGGGUAGCAAACAGG
rnacentral:rRNA from 1 species